GCCGCGAUGGCUCAGAGCCUCAGACCACCGCAAUGCAUCCCUGUAUUUCUCAAAUCGAUCUCAUCACUCCCAUUCAGGCCGCUCUGGAGAUCGAAUGCUCGCCCUUCCAUUCGUGCUCUCCCUAUCCAGCCUCAUUCUUGCUGUCCCUCGCCACAGUCCCCGCCCUCUCCGUGUCUCUCGCCACUCCCAGAUCGUGCGACGCUUCUGUCAAAUUUGAGCCAUCCUCAGCGUGUGGAAAACAAACUUGGUGCGCUGGGUGUCAUUCUCGCCCACUGUACCAACCCAUGGGCAUGAGCGUUGUUGAGAGUUGGAUCACAUAAUAUGCCUUCGGCUUUACUAAGUUGGAAAACAGCCUCUCGAUUUAAUUUUUUGCAUGAUCGGUCAUUUAUAAAAUACGAAGGAAUGCAAGGAAAACUCAAUAAAUCAAUUACCAAGGUCCAUUGAGGUACAAGCACGAAAUCCAUUUCUAUAUAUUACAUGCGCAGCUGUUUCCCAACGAUUAUCAGGAGAUAAACAGGGUUGCCUAAACUUUCUCCAGUCUAUGGCCCAUUCAGUUGCUUCAACAAUAAAUCCAUCGGCUGAAUAUACAGGGCAGAAUACUUCCUCAGUCAAAAGUACAGCUGUUGGACCAAUGAGUUGUUUUGAUAAGAAGCAUUAUCAUAAUAGGGAAAGAUACUUGCUUAUAUACUCGGAACAGCAAGAUGUAUCUGUGAAGAAACUGUCAGUACAAAUGGAGUAGAGAGGCGAAAUUUAAAAAUCAUGAUACAAGUGAUAAUAAUGUUAUGAAGUCUGUAGUGAACCAAAACCGUACAAUCAGUAACGACGACACCAACUCACAAAUCACAAAGAAAAAACAAUUGGUAUUUUUUGUUAAUAUAUUUUGUAUUAUUUCUGUUGGACAAGCUAAAAAAAUUCUAGGGAUAAUUGUUCAAUAUUGUUGGUCAACAAAUUGCAC